GAUGAACGCUAGCUACAGGCUUAACACAUGCAAGUCGAGGGGUAACGAGAGGAAAGCUUGCUUUCCUUGUCGACGACCGGCGCACGGGUGAGUAACGCGUAUCCAACCUGCCCCCAACUAGGGAAUAACCUUGCGAAAGUAAGACUAAUACCCUAUAAUUUCCUCAGAUGUCAUCUGACGAGGAAUAAAGAUUUAUCGGUUGUGGAUGGGGAUGCGUCUGAUUGGCUUGUUGGCGGGGUAACGGCCAACCAAGGCAACGAUCAGUAGGGGUUCUGGGAGGAAGGUCCCCCACAUUGGAACUGAGACACGGUCCAAACUCCUACGGGAGGCAGCAGUGAGGAAUAUUGGUCAAUGGGCGGAAGCCUGAAUCAGCCAAGUAGCGUGCAGGAUGACGGCCCUAUGGGUUGUAAACUGCUUUUAUACAGGAAUAAAGUUAGCCACGUGUGGUUAUUUGUAGGUACUGUAUGAAUAAGGACCGGCUAAUUCCGUGCCAGCAGCCGCGGUAA
rnacentral:rRNA from 1 species